rnacentral:antisense_RNA from 1 species
CCCUCUCUUCUGGAAGCCCCUCUGCAGCACUCCUCUUGGGAGUGGAAAAGGAAGUGGUCAAGGGAAUGGGGUUUCGCCGUGUUGUCCAGGCUGGUCUCAAACUCCUGGGCUCAAGCAAUCUGCCCACCUCAGCCUCCCAAAGUGCUGAGAGGACAGGCAUGAGCCACUGUCCCUGGCCCAGACCUACAUUUGGGAGCUGAUCCGUCUUGCUCUCAGUUAGGGCCCAGCCCUUCUGUGGGGACCAGGAAAAUCUUUGCUCACCUGGAGAAGCUGCUGGUUCAGCCCAACUUUAUCUAACGCCAAAGCCUCAUUUAAGGCACUGAGCUUGACAGCUGCAGCCCGAAGAUCAGCUACUUCUGUCUUCAGGGUGUUUUCAGAACUCGACAGCUCUGCAAUUGACUGCUCUGCCUAAAAAACAAAAAGGAUUAAAGAGUUUCAUAUUUCCAAUUUUCCUGGAACAGUAAACAUUUCACAUUCCCAACA